ensembl:lncRNA
CUGCAUCACAAUGCAGAUUCUUUUAGUAUCCAUCACAACGCCCUUAACUAUCACACAGAAAGCGUUGAUAAUGGGUUUUGGUGACUGGAGAUGAUGAUAGUCCAAAUAAGUGCUAACUGUUUGGAAAAUAUGAGACAAGAGGAAAACAACCUAAAAAGGUGUUCAACCUAAAAAGGAAAAGGGGUGCUUUGUAUACAUUGUUAGAGAUGAUGGAGAUUCUGUUUUAAGGUGUAAAGAUGCAGGAAGAGAAACUGGGUUACUGCCAAAACCAAAUGAACUUGCAUUCUGGUGGAAGUAGAAAGACAAUACCCUGAAAAAAUUAGAGUAAUAAGGUGGAAUGGCCACUAGAGAGGAACUGUAUUCCUUAGAGGGUUGAUAAAAGCAUCUUUGAGGAAUGAAUAUUUGAUUUGAGCCCCAAUUAUAUGCAUUUGAAUGCAGAGUUCCAAAAGAAUAGCAAGGAGAGAUAAGAAAGCCUUCCUCAAUGAUCAAUGCAAAGAAAUAGAGGAAAACAAUAGAAUGGGAAAGACUAGAGAUCUCUUCAAGAAAAUUAGAGAUACCAAGGAAACAUUUCAUGCAAAGAUGGGCUCAAUAAAGAACAGAAAUGGUAUGGACCUAACAGAAGCAGAAGAUAUUAAGAAGAGGAGGCAAGAAUACACAGAAGAACUGUACAAAAAAGAUCUCCAUGAUCCAGAUAAUCAUGAUGGUGUGAUCACUCACCUAGAGCCAGACAUCCUGGAAUGUGAAGUCAAGUGGGCCUUGGGAAGCAUCACUACGAACAAAGCUAGUGGAGGUGAUGGAAUUCCAGCUGAGCUAUUUCAAGUCCUGAAAGAUGAUGCUGUGAAAGUGCUGCACUCAAUAUGCCAGCAAAUUUGGAAAACUCAGCAGUGGCCACAGGACUGUAAAAGGUCAGUUUUCACUCCAAUCCCUAAGAAAGGCAAUGCCAAAGAAUGCUCAAACUACCGCACAAUUGCACUCAUCUCACACGCUAGUAAAGUAAUGCUCAAAAUUCUCCAAGCCAGGCUUCAGCAAUACAUGAACCGUGAACUUCCAGAUGUUCAAGCUGGUUUUAGAAAAGGCAGAGUAACCAGAGAUCAAAUUGCCAAUAUCCACUGGAUCAUCAAAAAAGCAAGAGAGUUCCAGAAAAACAUCUAGUUCUGCUUUAUUGACUAUGCCAAAGCCUUUGACUGUGUGGAUCACAAUAAACUGUGGAAAAUUCUGUAAGAGAUGGGAAUACCAGGCCACCUGACCUGCCUCUUCAGAAACCUGUAUGCAGGUCAGGAAGCAACAGUUAGAACUGGUCAUGGAACAACAGACUGGUUCCAAAUAGGAAAAGGAGUACGUCAAGGCUGUAUAUUGUCACCCUGUUUAUUUAACUUAUAUGCAGAGUAUAUCAUGAGAAACGCUGGGCUGGAAGAAUCACAAACUGGAAUUAAGAUUGCCGGGAGAAAUAUCAAUCACCUCAGAUAUGCAGAUGACACCACCCUUAUGGCAGAAAGUGAAGAGGAACUAAAAAGCCUCUUGAUGAAAGUGAAAGAGGAGAGUGAAAAAGUUGGCUUAAAGCUCAACAUUCAGAAAACUACGAUCAUGGCAUCCGGUCCCAUCACUUCAUGGGAAGUAGAUGGGGAAAUGGAGGAAAUGGGAAGUGGCUGACUUUAUUUUGGGGGCUCCAAAAUCACUGCAGAUGGUGAUUGCAGCCAUGAAAUUAAAAGACGCUUACUCCUUGGAAGGAAAGUUAUGACCAAGCUAGACAGCGUAUUGAAAAGCAGACACAUUACUUUGCCAACAAAGGUCCAUCUAGUCAAGGCCAUGGUUUUUCCAGUGAUCAUGUAUGGAUGUAAGAGUUGGACUAUGAAGAAAGCUGAGCACCGAAGAAUUGGUACUUUUGAAGUGUGGUGUUGGGGAAGAGUCUUGAGAGUCCCCUGGACUUUAAGGAGAUCCAACCAGUCCAUCCUAAAGGAGAUCAGUCCUGGGUGUUCUUUGGAAGGACUGAUGUUUUAAGCUGAAACUCCCAUACUUUCGCCAGCUCAUGUGAAGAGCUGACUCAUUUGAAAAGACCCUGAUGCUGGGAAAGAUUGAGGGCAGGAGGAGAAGGGGACGAAAGAGGAUGAGAUGGUUGGGUGGCAUCACUGACUCGAUGGACGUGAGUUUGAGUGAACUCCGGGAGUUGGUGAUGGACAGGGAGGCUGGCGUGCUGCAGUUCAUGGGGUCACAAAGAGUCAGACACUACUGAGUAACUGAACUGAACUGACUAUUUGCAGCUGUAAAUUUGCCCCACUGAAUUUAUGAUGCAGAUGAUUGAGCCUUAAGUCAUAAAUUAGAGAGGCAAGCACUUUUAGUUUCAACAAAUAGACCACUCUUUUCAAUCAAUUCCUUAUUCACAAAACAUGUAACUUGUAUAGGCUGUCAAUGAAUUCACUCACCACUCACCCUUCAAGGCGAAUAAUUACAAAUUCAGAAGAUGGGCUUAGAUAGAAGAAUUUAUGGCUGUGUUUUCCGCAACCCAGCUCUCUGAAGUGUGAUCCCUACUGAAUGACAUAUUCUGACUUACAAUGCGAGUUUCUAUGAGUCAUAUCUUUCCUAGUGUGUCCCCUCUUUAGUGUCUUCUGAACUGAGCUAUUGCCCACCAAAGCAUUGGAGCCAAAGUCUUUUGGGAACACUGAUAAAACUAUUAAUUAGCUAAUGGACUUUUAAGAUAAUUGAAUUUUUCUCUCUUCCAAUCCAAGUACUAAAGCAGAACAUUUUUCUCCACAAUUUUAUUCCAGGAUACCAGGUCUCCACUCACAAUAAAAUAAACUGCCUGUAAACAUAACUAUUGCUCACAUUUAUCUUGUCCAUUUUAUUCUUUGGUUCAGUCAGAGAGAUACAGGUCUGUCUUGGACAUUGGUCUGCUUGGAUAGGAAGGAAGAAGGAAAGGAAAGAAGAAAGAAAAUAAAAAU